AUGAACGCUGGCGGCGUGCCUAACACAUGCAAGUCGAACGAAGUUACACAGAGGAAGUUUUCGGAUGGAAUCAGUAUAACUUAGUGGCGGACGGGUGAGUAACGCGUGGGAAACCUGCCCUGUACCGGGGGAUAACACUUAGAAAUAGGUGCUAAUACCGCAUAAGCGCACGGAACCGCAUGGUUCCGUGUGAAAAACUCCGGUGGUACAGGAUGGUCCCGCGUCUGAUUAGCCAGUUGGCAGGGUAAUGGCCUACCAAAGCGACGAUCAGUAGCCGGCCUGAGAGGGUGAACGGCCACAUUGGGACUGAGACACGGCCCAAACUCCUACGGGAGGCAGCAGUGGGGAAUAUUGCACAAUGGGGGAAACCCUGAUGCAGCGACGCCGCGUGAGUGAAGAAGUAUUUCGGUAUGUAAAGCUCUAUCAGCAGGGAAGAAAAUGACGGUACCUGACUAAGAAGCCCCGGCUAACUACGUGCCAGCAGCCGCGGUAAUACGUAGGGGGCAAGCGUUAUCCGGAUUUACUGGGUGUAAAGGGAGCGUAGACGGCAUGGCAAGCCAGAUGUGAAAACCCAGGGCUCAACCUUGGGAUUGCAUUUGGAACUGCCAGGCUGGAGUGCAGGAGAGGUAAGCGGAAUUCCUAGUGUAGCGGUGAAAUGCGUAGAUAUUAGGAGGAACACCAGUGGCGAAGGCGGCUUACUGGACUGUAACUGACGUUGAGGCUCGAAAGCGUGGGGAGCAAACAGGAUUA
rnacentral:rRNA from 1 species